UAUUGCAGUACUUAUUGCUAUGGUGGACCAGAGUGACUGAACAACAGGCGCAGUCAGUGUCACAUCCAAGGCUCUCAAGUAACACUGCUCCUCCAGUAUCACUGUCUGUCAGCUCCACACCAUGGCUCAUGCGCUCAGACGGCAGCCUCCGAUGAAGGACCAGCACAGCUCAGAUAACGGACACAAUGCCGAAGCCUCUUCUGAGCAGUCAACCCCCGUUAAGACCUCCAGGACUCACAACGAGCUCCACAAGGAGCUGCUAUUGGCUCACAAUAGCUCGCUAGGCCACUGGUAGCAUGCAUCAGUGUAAAGUGAUAUCCUAAGAGGAGCACUGACCUGGCGUCCACAUGCUAGCACACACUGGGAUGGACAGAAUUACAACAGAAUGAAUAACAUAACAGAGUAAGCGUUAGUAACCUGCAGCAUCCCUGAAGACGGUCGUCUGCCCUGACGGUUCGUGUCUAAGAGGACUCAUCUCUGGUGGUCAGCUCACACUUCACUGACUGGCUGAGCCAGUGGUUCUCAAGCUUGUUCUUUAAGCUCCACUUCGGGGGAAGUUCAUGCGCCACCGCCCCAACAAAAUUGUAACAUUGAUGAAUUGUUAUUGAAAUAACAACUUUUUGUGCUUUUUCAAAUAAUAAAAUCACUUUGUAAUCACUUUCUAGUAAACCAGAUUCCUCCAUCAGGCAGAAACUAA